rnacentral:rRNA from 1 species
UACGUAGGUGACCAGCGUUGUCCGGAUUUACUGGGCGUAAAGAGCGCGCAGGCGGUCGUUCAAGUCGAGUGUGAAAGCCCCCGGCUCAACUGGGGAGGGUCACUUGAUACUGAUCGACUCGAAGGCAGGAGAGGGAAGCGGAAUUCCCGGUGUAGUGGUGAAAUGCGUAGAUAUCGGGAGGAACACCAGUGGCGAAGGCGGCUUCCUGGCCUGUUCUUGACGCUGAGGCACGAAGGUCAGGGGAGCAAACGGG